CACAAAUGAAACGUUAAGUGAUUGAUUGAACAUUUGGUAAGCGUUUGUUAUAUAAUACUGAAACCCUAAUAUCACUGGAUGUGUAACAUAUUCUAUUUCUUUUCUAUGAGAAAUUAUGUGCUACGUACACAAAAAGACAUUUUGGAGCAUUAUGUGCCAUCUAGCCUACUGCUACAGUAUAACAAUAAGGAAGAGAAAAUUACUGACACAGAAGGGCGUUUGGAAUCCUGUUCUGUCAUCUAGUCAACUGCAGGCUUUAACAUUAAGAGAAGAGAAAUGUGCUACAUAGAAUGACAUUUGUAAGCAUGACCUGCCAUCUAGUCUAAUGCUAUCAAAACAAGGAAAGAGGUAAAGUUACUAUGAUUAUGGUUUGCAUAUAUCAUUAAACACUAGUUGUAAGUAGUUGAAAACAUACAGGUAAGUGCAAGACAUGGACAUUGGCCAGUGACUGUGAAUUAUGAAAAAAAAUAAGCUUUAUAUGACAGUCUUGGUGAACUCUAUUCACUUUGAAUCCUCCGAACGUUAUUACUAUAAAAGAUGACUUAAUGUUUCAAGGUGUCACUGGUCUUAUUCAUAUGACUCAAUUAUGCACAUGUUUCCCCCCUCAGUUCUCCAAGAUGCUUCGCUGGUAUAAAUAAAUUUGGUGGCUGAUGCUCUGGCUGGCAAUAUUUCUUUAAAAAGCUCAAAGACUUGUCAUUGCAGCAACUCUCAUUGGAUACCUUUUCUUGCUUUAACCGUAAUUAUGAGUUAAGGGCUCUAACCCUCGGAGCCUAUGAAUGCAUUGCAUUCGGUCGAGGAGUACGUUUUCAGUGUAUUUUUCCCAGAAAGGGUUUUAUCUCUGUUUUGUUUCGUACCGGGCAAUGUAUCAGUAUGAUGUAUUCCUUUUUUAUAUAAAAAUGGGGAAACAAUAUUGUAAAAAUUAUCUCUAAGCUAAUAGAAUUAUUCAAAACGAGAUUGAUUAAAUAGAUGCAAUAAAAUAACAGUUAGUCGAUAUUUUUCUCCUUUACUAGUAUGUAUUGGGGUCCUUCUGCUCAUUUCAUUAUUCAUUCAUCACAAGAAUAGCCAUGGCAAACAUUAGUCCAGUAUUUCAGAGAGCCUUUAUCAUUAUACCACCUCAACACUACAUUUUGUCAAUAUUUACUUUAAAAAAAUCAAACAACUUAAAAGCUAGUUUAAGACCUUCACAUACACAAUUAUGACACAAGUAUGAAUAUGCUCGUCCACGCAGGCUCCGCUUUUAGGCAGUGCAAGACUACUGCAUAUCCCCAUCAAAACAGUAGAUAGAUUGCGUGUAAUAAACUUGGGCCGCCUGUGGUUGAGCGAAUUGUAAAUCCUAAAGGAGCAUAGAUGACUUUUUAGCGAGAGUCCCUCACCCAACAGGGAGUUAAACAAAAAGCAAACAAGAAUUACUGUGUAUACAUAUUCAACAAUAUAAAGAAAGAUCGCUUUUACCUUGGUAAAAUAAAGCUGGGAUUCUUUAGACCGAUACUAAAACUAUCGUAACCUGGCCUUCCCAAAACACACAGGAAAACAAAGCGAUCAAUGUCAGUACUCCAAGGAAUACCUGUGGUUUAAGCGGGAAAAUCAAGAGGGGCGGCGCGCGCGAAAACAAAAACAAAAAAAUAAAUAUUGCCCCUGCAGUUGUGUUACACCAAAACGUAAGUACACAACACUUAACCUGAACUCCCAUUUACCUCCGUUUUUCUAGCUCGCUUAAAAGGCAAGAAAUACCUUUUUUGUUCCUUUACUUUAAUUUUACAUUUUCCACAGAAUGUCGCAUCGAGCGGCGGCAAACGAGAAGGUAUCAAUCACUUGCGCUCCUUUUAGGAACAAACCUUAGCAUAUUUGAAGCGAAAAUGUUGGUAAUUACUAAAAAAAGAUUCAAACAGAGGACUGUCAAGCGAUAAAAAUUCGGAGUGUGUAGGUACAAUACGGUACAAUACCCAAAUACUAGAUACACGACAGGUUUUACUUUACAAGUUUCUUAGUUAUUUAAGUUAAGCUUGUACUUAAAUAUUAGCCAAUGAGUCAUAUCAUAAUAAUGGUGUGUUGAUUAGUGCAGCGAACUCAAAACUAUUAUUAUACUUAAUGCUUGACAGAAAAUAAUCAGCAGAAAGGGAAAAGAAAAAGUAAGUACAAAAAUACAAAUGAAGCUUACAUCAUAUACUUGAAUUGAAUACAAUAGACCAAAACUGGAAUUCGACUCUGCCAAAUUUUCGUCUUUAAUAAGACUUCUUCGGGGCAGAAAUUCAUAUCUUGAAUUAAUUCUUGUUUUUUUAUUUAAGCUUAACUUAACUUUAAGCUUAUAUGUCGCUUUUUGAUUUACAGCAUGUGAAAAGUGUAAAGGUAACGGCCAUAAGGCUGAAAAAUGUCCCACUGACGAGACAAAUAAUAAUGUGCGCUGUUAUAGGUGUCGGGGGCAGGGGCACAAAAAAAAAACAAUGCCCCACACGACCUCAAAAGAAGAACAAUAACAAGAGGAAAAGAGGCAAUGCAGCUGCAG